UACAGAGGGGGCAAGCGUUGUUCGGAAUUACUGGGCGUAAAGGGCGCGUAGGCGGCCCGCUAAGUCGAACGUGAAAUCCCCGAGCUCAACUCGGGAACUGCGUCCGAUACUGGCGGGCUUGAAUCCGGGAGAGGGAUGCGGAAUUCCAGGUGUAGCGGUGAAAUGCGUAGAUAUCUGGAGGAACACCGGUGGCGAAGGCGGCAUCCUGGACCGGCAUUGACGCUGAGGCGCGAAAGCUAGGGGAGCGAACAGG
rnacentral:rRNA from 1 species